rnacentral:rRNA from 1 species
AGUGAACGCUGGCGGUAGGCCUAACACAUGCAAGUCGAACGGCAGCACAGUAAGAGCUUGCUCUUACGGGUGGCGAGUGGCGGACGGGUGAGGAAUACAUCGGAAUCUACUUUUGCGUGGGGGAUAACGUAGGGAAACUUACGCUAAUACCGCAUACGACCUACGGGUGAAAGCAGGGGAUCUUCGGACCUUGCGCGAGUGAAUGAGCCGAUGUCGGAUUAGCUAGUUGGCGGGGUAAAGGCCCACCAAGGCGACGAUCCGUAGCUGGUCUGAGAGGAUGAUCAGCCACACUGGAACUGAGACACGGUCCAGACUCCUACGGGAGGCAGCAGUGGGGAAUAUUGGACAAUGGGCGCAAGCCUGAUCCAGCCAUACCGCGUGGGUGAAGAAGGCCUUCGGGUUGUAAAGCCCUUUUGUUGGGAAAGAAAAGCAGCAGGUUAAUACCCCGCUGUUCUGACGGUACCAAAAGAAUAAGCACCGGCUAACUUCGUG